GACAGAGGGGGCAAGCGUUGCUCGGAAUCACUGGGCGUAAAGGGCGCGUAGGCGGGAUGGCAAGUCGGUCGUGAAAUCUCUCGGCUCAACCGAGAAACGUCGGGCCGAUACUGCCGUUCUUGAGGGAUGCAGAGGAGACUGGAAUUCCCGGUGUAGCGGUGAAAUGCGUAGAUAUCGAGAGGAACACCGGUGGCGAAGGCGGCCAACUGGACGAGUACUGACGCU
rnacentral:rRNA from 1 species